rnacentral:rRNA from 1 species
UACGGAGGGUGCGAGCGUUGUCCGGAAUCACUGGGCGUAAAGGGCGCGUAGGCGGCCUGAUAAGUAGGGGGUGAAAUCCUGCGGCUUAACCGCAGGGCUGCCUUCUAAACUGUCAGGCUAGAGCACAGUAGAGGCAGGUGGAAUUCCCGGUGUAGCGGUGGAAUGCGUAGAUAUUCGCAAGAACACCAGUGGCGAAGGCGGCUCACUGGCCCGGUACUGACGCUGAGGUGCGAAAGCGUGGGGAGCAAACAGG